CUCGACAUUGUGUUCACCUACGGCGAAUCUUCAGGAUAUCAGAAACCGGGCAUCAAGCCAACGAUCACAUCCUCGUUCACCAUGAAUAAUGACCCAACGUCUGGCGCCGGGACACCAUCUACGAAGACUAGUCGUUCCCCAAGCAACAAGUUCGACGAUGCAAUCUCCGAGUCUUGGAACGUCAAUCUCGAUGAUUGCAACACGGCCAUGUCGUUCAACGACGAAGACCUGAAACGUCUUGGAAUCGAAAAAUCGAAGAAGAUGAAGAAGAAGGAGCAGGAAGAGAUGUAGUAGUAGUAGUAGUAGUAGAUAAUUUGUUGAUUGAAAAAGAAUGAAUGAACUGCUUGGGGGUUU
rnacentral:misc_RNA from 1 species